ensembl:lncRNA
GGCAAUGCGAGAUACAAUGUAAACAUGUACAGGAUACAAAAAGAGGAACAAGACUUGUCAAAAUGAAACGGUAGAUAAGAAAAUGCCCUGUUUUCAAAAGGAAUGCACAUCCAGUCAUUUCAUUUCAUGCUAGUGCACAGUAUGCUGAUGUUUUGAACAGACUGCCACCGGGGAAAAAAACAUCCUUUUACCUCCUCACUGCAUAUCCUUUGAAAACAAGGUGUUAGCAAGGGUUAAACACAAUUUGCAUAACAACAAUGGUUAUUUUUUUAAAAAAAGGAAAAUUUAAAGAGAAAAUGAAAGAAUAGCACCUCCUUUGGUCCAACUCAAGGCCUGUGGUUGUUGUUGUGUUUGGUAGCAGAUUGUUUUUGUCAGAAUUUACAGUUCAAGAGCUUUUUUUUUUUUUGACACGCAGCGGGGUGGUGACAAAUUCUAUCCUAUGAAUGCAACAGUGAGGCUAAAAACUCCACCUUUUACUAUGAAUCCACCUCAGCUGUCACUCAGCAUCAAUUACUCCUGACAGCUCGCCUCCGCCACCGAAACGUGGCAGAGGAGCUCCCACGCAAGAAAGGCAGCUCUUGAUUAGGAAGCCUUAGUAGCUUCUGACUGGCUGAGGUUAAUUAAGACACGCUGUUGUGCUAAUUAGAAACGGGGACUCAAACAGAGACAAAGAACGGCGCCACGGAGACGCAGUGGAGCGCCUCAUUCCUCGACACAAGCCUCUCUCUCUGGAGCUCGGCGACGGCUCCCGCUGAUGCCCGCUGGCACCUCAAACAAUCCUGGCUACAUGAGAUCUGAAGACACUGGCAGUAAAAGAAGCUAAAAUCAGACGUAGGAUCGGCUCUGCAGCUCUUCUGCGAACGGAUGGGAGGCUGAGAGAAGCUGUUGCUGCUGGAACGUCAAUUCAUUUGUCUCUCUGCACCACAAUUAAAACAUUGUUUGAUGUAAUAAGAUUUCACAACUCAGGUUUGGAAGCAGAGAGCUCAUUAGUCGGGUUGGUUAGCAGGAGUUUGAUAGAAACGGGCCUCUGCAUGUUUCAGGUGGAAUUGGUGCCCAUCGCCCUUUCAUCUCCAUCGAAGCUCACCUCCUCUCACUGCCAGAAUCCGCCAUCUGAUCCAUCUUCUGUCUCCCUGCAUCCCACUCUCACUACUCUCCUAUCUGACCUUCUCUUUUCUUAAGCACACCUGCAAAAAAAACCAUCUCAUCGUGCUAAAACAAACUCAAACGCCCAACCAGAAGCCUCCGAAGUGGCGCCAUCGUUUCAGCGGGAACAGACGGUUCGGCUGUGUCGAGGAACGUUUAAAUAAAAGAGCUAAAGGUGUUCCAUGCCUGAGAGAAACCAUCCAUUAGUUAGAAUACAAAGAAAGGGAGGAAUGACACAGAGCUGUAUCACCCGGCAACUGCUGCACUCACUAAGUAUGCACUGUUUCAGGCAGUUUGCAUACAACUGGGACAUACUACUAUGUCAUAUUAGAGCACCUAAUUUCUGAUGUUUGAAGUCAUGCAACAAAGAAUGUGGCAUAACUGUGCAGAAGACUGUGGGUCAGAAUGGCCAGAAAAGUCUGGAUGUAGUGGUGCAUCUGAGUAUUUUUGACAUUAGAUGUAUUGAGACAAGCCUUUUCUGUCGUACUAUACUAGCAUAGUGUGGUAAUAAGGAUACUGGCAUGCACAUAUGCAUUUCUUGUGGCGGGAAUGAUUCCUCAUCAUCACUUGGUUACCAAAUAUCAGCUGAGAUCGUCUGAACUGGUGAAAACUUGUAGGUGUUGGCAAAUAAGCUCAUUCACGUUGUGCUGACAGUUAGCUGAACAGAUUGAUACCACUCUCAUGUCUGUACACUAAAUUUGAAGAGGAGACUGUUAGCCGAGCCUAUGCUAGGCUCGGCUAACAGGAACCAGUAAGACUGGCUUUGUCCAAAGUUUUAAAAAAGUCCUCUACAGCUCAUUAAUUAACACAGUAUUUUUUGUUAGUUUAAUCAAAAUAACAGCUCAAGUGUAAAAACACCAAGUGGAGUUUUCAGGGGAAUUUUUUCUAGUGUUUCAACCUAUUAUAAAACCGCCACUUGUCUUUUCGAAAAAGGACUUGUUCACACCUGGCUUUUAAAUGUCUUCACUCCUGACUGGAUCUCACUUCAGCACUUCAUAUGAACAUAAAAGCAGAAUUUCUGUUUGCAGAGACCAAAAGUGUUGUUGUUUUUAAAUCAUCGGAAGGCAGCAAUGCACUCAUGUACCUAGUCUGCUGGAACAAAAAAGGAGGAGAACAAAUCAGCAGUUGUUGUUGUCGCCUGUUUAUGUACUUUAAACCCUCUGAAUCCCAAAGCUGCCGGUUUAAAAAGGCAUGCUGUCUUUAAAAAUCUUCAGAAUUUCACCAUUUUUCACAGCCAAAAACAGUAAAAACAGAAAGAAAUGUCUGGCCUGUAGCUUCAUGGAAGUCUUUGAACUGAUCCUCUGUGACAGACCAUUCCAUCCAAAAAUGAACCAAAUCUAAGCAAAAUCACAAUAUUCGCUAUGAUCGGUUGCUUUCUGUGCUCCUCAGUGCAACCAUGAAGCCAUGACUGCCUCAGCUGUGACCAAGAGUCAUUUGAGGAAAAACUCAGGAACCCUUCAGCUGUACUGGGCUGAACUGCAGGCUGUGUUUACAGGCAGGAGAAAACUAUGGAAACAGUUAUAUCCACAGCAUGUCUCCCAUUUUUGUUAGUG